GACGAACCGUACGAACGUUAUUCGGAAUCACUGGGCUUAAAGGGUGCGUAGGCGGCGGUGCAAGUUGGGUGUGAAAUCCCUCGGCUCAACCGAGGAACUGCGCUCAAAACUGCAUUGCUAGAGGGAGAUAGAGGUGAGUGGAACUUAGGGUGGAGCGGUGAAAUGCGUUGAUAUCCUAAGGAACACCAGUGGCGAAAGCGACUCACUGGGUCUUUUCUGACGCUGAUGCACGAAAGCUAGGGUAGCGAACGGG
rnacentral:rRNA from 1 species